GUCGAGCGGCGGACGGGUGAGUAAUGCCUAGGAAAUUGCCCUGAUGUGGGGGAUAACCAUUGGAAACGAUGGCUAAUACCGCAUAAUGCCUACGGGCCAAAGAGGGGGACCUUCGGGCCUCUCGCGUCAGGAUAUGCCUAGGUGGGAUUAGCUAGUUGGUGAGGUAAUGGCUCACCAAGGCGACGAUCCCUAGCUGGUCUGAGAGGAUGAUCAGCCACACUGGAACUGAGACACGGUCCAGACUCCUACGGGAGGCAGCAGUGGGGAAUAUUGCACAAUGGGCGCAAGCCUGAUGCAGCCAUGCCGCGUGUGUGAAGAAGGCCUUCGGGUUGUAAAGCACUUUCAGUCGUGAGGAAGGUGGUAGUGUUAAUAGCACUAUCAUUUGACGUUAGCGACAGAAGAAGCACCGGCUAACUCCGUGCCAGCAGCCGCGGUAAUACGGAGGGUGCGAGCGUUAAUCGGAAUUACUGGGCGUAAAGCGCAUGCAGGUGGUUUGUUAAGUCAGAUGUGAAAGCCCGGGGCUCAACCUCGGAAUAGCAUUUGAAACUGGCAGACUAGAGUACUGUAGAGGGGGGUAGAAUUUCAGGUGUAGCGGUGAAAUGCGUAGAGAUCUGAAGGAAUACCGGUGGCGAAGGCGGCCCCCUGGACAGAUACUGACACUCAGAUGCGAAAGCGUGGGGAGCAAACAGGAUUAGAUACCCUGGUAGUCCACGCCGUAAACGAUGUCUACUUGGAGGUUGUGGCCUUGAGCCGUGGCUUUCGGAGCUAACGCGUUAAGUAGACCGCCUGGGGAGUACGGUCGCAAGAUUAAAACUCAAAUGAAUUGACGGGGGCCCGCACAAGCGGUGGAGCAUGUGGUUUAAUUCGAUGCAACGCGAAGAACCUUACCUACUCUUGACAUCCAGAGAACUUUCCAGAGAUGGAUUGGUGCCUUCGGGAACUCUGAGACAGGUGCUGCAUGGCUGUCGUCAGCUCGUGUUGUGAAAUGUUGGGUUAAGUCCCGCAACGAGCGCAACCCUUAUCCUUGUUUGCCAGCGAGUAAUGUCGGGAACUCCAGGGAGACUGCCGGUGAUAAACCGGAGGAAGGUGGGGACGACGUCAAGUCAUCAUGGCCCUUACGAGUAGGGCUACACACGUGCUACAAUGGCGCAUACAGAGGGCAGCAAGCUAGCGAUAGUGAGCGAAUCCCAAAAAGUGCGUCGUAGUCCGGAUUGGAGUCUGCAACUCGACUCCAUGAAGUCGGAAUCGCUAGUAAUCGUGGAUCAGAAUGCCACGGUGAAUACGUUCCCGGGCCUUGUACACACCGCCCGUCACACCAUGGGAGUGGGCUGCAAAAGAAGUAGGUAG
rnacentral:rRNA from 1 species